rnacentral:lncRNA from 1 species
UUGAUUUUUUCUAUCUAGAUUUUUCUACUUAAAAUAUCUUGAUUCUAGAUAUUUCUAAUACAAAUAUCUUCACUUACUUUUUCUAGAAUUCUCUAUAUUUUUCUUUUAAAAUAUCUUCACUCAAAAAAUCAAGUUUAUUUUUAUAUUCCAACACUCCCCCUUAAACUUGAUUUUUCAUUCCGAGCAAACUUCUGAAUUUGGCGAAAUCCUUUCACGACGUGCCUUGCUUUAUAUCUUUCAACUUCACCUUUGGAAUUCUUCUUAACCUUAUGCACCCACUUGACUCCAAUGGCCUUGUGCCUUUCCGGUAGUGUCACGAGCUCACACGUAUCAUUCUUGUUUAUAACUUUGAUCUCUUCGUCCAUUGCAACUCGCCAAUUUUCACUAUUUGCUGCUAUAGGUUCACAAUCAGCAGAUAGGCAAAACAAGGUGAGAUCUUCUAACCUUUCAGUAUCCUCAUAUAUCUCACCCAAACUCCUUGCUCGUGGUGUGGCUCUUUCAUUUAAGAAAGAUGGUGGCGAGUCUUCAAU